rnacentral:tRNA from 1 species
CAAGAAAUAGUUUAUAUUUAAAAUAUUAAUUUUGGGAAUUAAUGAAGAAUUUUUAUUUUUUCUUGA